rnacentral:rRNA from 1 species
GCCAACCUUGAAAUACCACCCUUUAAUGUUUGAUGUUCUAACGUUGGCCCCUGACCGGGGUUGCGGACAGUGUCUGGUGGGUAGUUUGACUGGGGCGGUCUCCUCCCAAAGCGUAACGGAGGAGCACGAAGGUUAGCUAAUCCUGGUCGGACAUCAGGAGGUUAGUGCAAUGGCAUAAGCUAGCUUGACUGCGAGCGUGACGGCGCGAGCAGGUGCGAAAGCAGGUCAUAGUGAUCCGGUGGUUCUGAAUGGAAGGGCCAUCGCUCAACGGAUAAAAGGUACUCCGGGGAUAACAGGCUGAUACCGCCCAAGAGUUCAUAUCGACGGCGGUGUUUGGCACCUCGAUGUCGGCUCAUCACAUCCUGGGGCUGAAGUAGGUCCCAAGGGUAUGGCUGUUCGCCAUUUAAAGUGGUACGCGAGCUGGGUUUAGAACGUCGUGAGACAGUUCGGUCCCUAUCUGCCGUGGGCGCUGGAGAAUUGAGGGGGGCUGCUCCUAGUACGAGAGGACCGGAGUGGACGCAUCACUGGUGUUCGGGUUGUCAUGCCAAUGGCACUGCCCGGUAGCUAAAUGCGGAAGAGAUAAGUGCUGAAAGCAUCUAAGCACGAAACUUGCCCCGAGAUGAGUUCUCCCUGAGACUUUAAGUCUCCUGAAGGAACGUUAAAGACGAUGACGUUGAUAGGCCGGGUGUGUAAGCGCAGCGAUGCGUUGAGCUAACCGGUACUAAUGAACCGUGAGGCUUAACCUUACAACGCCGAAG